AGUGAACGCUGGCGGUAGGCCUAACACAUGCAAGUCGAACGGCAGCACAGUGAGAGCUUGCUCUUACGGGUGGCGAGUGGCAGACGGGUGAGGAAUACAUCGGAAUCUACUUUUUCGUGGGGGAUAACGUAGGGAAACUUACGCUAAUACCGCAUACGACCUACGGGUGAAAGCAGGGGAUCUUCGGACCUUGCGCGAUUGAAUGAGCCGAUGUCGGAUUAGCUAGUUGGCGGGGUAAAGGCCCACCAAGGCGACGAUCCGUAGCUGGUCUGAGAGGAUGAUCAGCCACACUGGAACUGAGACACGGUCCAGACUCCUACGGGAGGCAGCAGUGGGGAAUAUUGGACAAUGGGCGCAAGCCUGAUCCAGCCAUACCGCGUGGGUGAAGAAGGCCUUCGGGUUGUAAAGCCCUUUUGUUGGGAAAGAAAAGCAGCAGGUUAAUACCCCGCUGUUCUGACGGUACCCAAAGAAUAAGCACCGGCUAACUUCGUG
rnacentral:rRNA from 1 species